rnacentral:tRNA from 1 species
GGGGAUGUAGCUCAGCUGGUAGAGUGCUUGCUUAGUAUGCACAAGGCCCUGGGUUCAAUACCCAGGACCACCA